AUCUGAGGUUGAAGAAAGAAGAGGGGACACCGAUUAAGCAUAAUUGAGCAGAGCAAGAGGAUAGAAUCAGAAAAUGGAAGAAGUAUGAAUUGCCAAGUCCAAUGACCCACAGUGGACUUUUUUAAAAUCCAGAUGGUUACCUUUGGACAAAAAGGAUAUGGACUUUCAUCACAGCAGAAGCUGAAGUAAUUUGGAAGGUAAAUAUUUAAAAUAAAAAGAUGUUUGCCUUAGCUCCAAAUCACAUACAACAAUCAUUCUCUCUUAUAAAUUGAUUUGGGAUUCUCUAUGACAGCAUUUUUACCCUAGCUGGACUUUAUCCCCCAAACUCCAAUCUGCCCUGUAGAUGACAGAGCAGGACUAAAUUAUUUUUCCCCCUGAACACUAUCUAAGGUUGUGUUGCUUGCUU
rnacentral:lncRNA from 1 species